UGGUGGAGUGAUUUGUCUGGUUAAUUCCGUUAACGAACGAGACCUCGACCUACUAAAUAGUACGUUAUACCUCCGGGUAUAAGUGCGACUUCUUAGAGGGACUGUCGGUUUGUAGCCGAAGGAAGAUCGAGGCAAUAACA
rnacentral:rRNA from 1 species